UGCGAGUGAGCGGGCAGCUCAAUUUAAAAUCUGGCGGUCUCCGGCCGUCCGAGUUGUAAUUUAGAGAAGCGUUAUCCGUGCUGGACCGUGUAUAAGUCUCCUGGAAUGGAGCGUCAUAGAGGGUGAGAAUCCCGUCUUUGACACGGACUACCAGUGCAUUGUGAUGCGCUCUCGACGAGUCGAGUUGUUUGGGAAUGCAGCUCAAAAUGGGUGGUAAAUGCCAUCUAAAGCUAAAUAUUGGCGAGAGACCGAUAGCGAACAAGUACCGUGAGGGAAAGAUGAAAAGAACUUUGGAAAGAGAGUUAAACAGUACGUGAAAUUGUCGAAAGGGAAACGGUUGCAGUCAGUCGCGUCCGCCGGGGAUCAACCUUGCUUUUGCUUGGCGUAUUUCCCGGUGGAUGGGUCAGCAUCAGUUUUGACCGCAGUUGAAAGGCUGGAGGAAUGUGGCACCUUCGGGUGUGUUAUAGCCUCCUGUCAUAUGCUGCGGUUGGGACUGAGGAACUCAGCACGCCGCAAGGCCGGGAUUCGUCCACGUUCGUGCUUAGGAUGCUGGCAUAAUGUCUGUAACCGACCCGU
rnacentral:rRNA from 1 species